rnacentral:rRNA from 1 species
GAUGAACGCUGGCGGCGUGCCUAAUACAUGCAAGUCGAGCGAACAGACGAGGAGCUUGCUCCUCUGACGUUAGCGGCGGACGGGUGAGUAACACGUGGAUGACCUACCUAUAAGACUGGGAUAACUUAGGGAAACCGGAGCUAAUACCGGAUAAUAUAUUGAACCGCAUGGUUCAAUAGUGAAAGACGGUUUUGCUGUCACUUAUAGAUGGAUCCGCGCCGCAUUAGCUAGUUGGUAAGGUAACGGCUUACCAAGGCAACGAUGCGUAGCCGACCUGAGAGGGUGAUCGGCCACACUGGAACUGAGACACGGUCCAGACUCCUACGGGAGGCAGCAGUAGGGAAUCUUGCGCAAUGGGCGCAAGCCUGAUGCAGCAACGCCGCGUGCGGGAUGAAGGUCUUCGGAUCGUAAAACGCUGUUGUUAGGGAAGAACAAAUGUGUAAGUAUCUAUGCACGUCUUGACGGUACCGGAUGAGAAAGCCACGGCUAACUACGUG